rnacentral:piRNA from 1 species
AAAAGUUAUAUAUAUGGAUAUGUGGAUAU